rnacentral:misc_RNA from 1 species
UUUGCAAUUCCGAGAGACAUUUAAAACACAUGCCUGCAUAGCCUACUGGGAGCUGUGUAGGAGCCGGCUCCACUCUUUUAUACCCAAAAUGCCCCUCAUUCCAUCUCCUUUUCCUAUUUUUCACAGCCACAAUACGUGGACAUUUCUGUAAUUUAAUCAAGCCCAAUUUCCAUUGCCGAUCAAAACUCAGGGCGCCUCGUCCUCCAUGGCUUUGUACGAACCUUCGAUUUGGAGUUCCAACUUCUUUUCCUCAAGGAUAUCCGAUUCCAUUCCCCAAAUCACUCAAUCUCGACUUAUCGUUAACUAUUGAGCAUUUUUUUAACUAUUUAAGGUGCAUUGCCCUAAUGCCCUUUAUCAUCAAGCAAAGGCUCAAAUUGGGCUUUAUGUGCAGCGAUUCUAUAAUUUUGUCAUGCAUUGUUGUAUUUAUUGGGUUUGCAAUACAGAGGAUGUGAGGAAACCAAUGCAAUGGCAACAUCUAGUAAGUUUGAUUUGUCUUCUGACACCCCGGAUAGGCCGCUAUACUCCAGUGGGCAGCGUGCUGGAUCCCACUUAACUGCUCAGAUGGACAGAUCAGGUAGUUUUCGUGAGAACAUGGAGAACCCAAUCCUAUCUUCUCUCCCAAACAUGACAAGGAGCAGUUCUGUAGUAGCACAGGGAGACGUGAUGAAUUUCUUUCAGUGUUUGCGUUUUGAUCCAAAGUCGAUGGUUGCUGACCAUAAGUUUAAUCGACAAGGGGACUUUAAACGACACUUGAAUGUUGCUCUUGGCAUUUCUGUGGAUGAUUCUCCAUCUGGUCCUUUGAAAGUCAAAGUGCCUGCACCUGAGGAAAUCAAGCGGAUCAGGGCUUAUCUGCGUGAAAGCUCUGUGAAGGCCAGGGAACGAAUGAAGACUUUUAAUGAAGCCUUGUCUGUAUUCAACAAGUUUUUCCCCAGUAUUCCGUCAAAGAAGAGAUCAAGAUCAGAAGGCUUUUCUAGUGAUAGGCCUAAUGCCUUGUUAUCAAGUGAUCGAUCAGUUCUGGGGCCAAGCCUUGGUAAGAUGGGGAUUCAUAAUCAUGCUGUUACUGGUGGUGGUUUUGAACUUGAACAGCAGAAGUCAGAGGAGAGAACCAAAAAUGUUGUGCCAAACAAACGGACGCGAACUUCAUUGGUGGAUGUGAGGAGCAAUUCUCUUGUGAGGCCAUCUGGUACACUAGAUAGAGAAAGAGAAAUGCUGAGGCUUGCAAGUGGUGGUGCAAUUCAAGGUGAAGAUCGAAUUUUGUCAAUUGGUGUUGAUGGUUGGGAAAAGACAAAAAUGAAGAAGAAGCGCUCUGUGAUAAAGCCAGAUGUUUCUCCAAGUUUAGUGCCAACUAAACUCACUGAUGGCUAUCGGGAGCCCAAACAGGGACUGCAGCAAAGGCCUGUUACUGAGGCUCGAUCAAGGUUAAAUAGUGACUCCCAUGGGUUCAGGCCAGGAGUUGCAAAUGGUGCUGUGAGCAUUGGAAAAUCAGAUGGUAUCUCACAAUCAACAAGCUUGAGUACGCGGUCAUCCAUCCCUAGGGCCGAUCUUGACAACAGUUCUCUUCUCAAUGAAAGAAGAGAACGCCCUAUUGGUUCUGAUAAGGAAAGGGUGAAUAUUAGAGCUGUUAAUAAAGCAAAUGUUCGUGAUGAUUUUAAUUCAGCUAGUCCCACUUCAAGCACAAAAAUGAAUGCAUCUAUCCGAGCUCCACGAUCAGGUUCAGGCAUUGCCCCCAAGUUGUCACCAGUAGUCCAUAGGGCAACUGCUCCAAUUGAGUGGGAACUUUCUCAUUGCUCAAGCAAGCCACCUACUACUGUUGGAACUAGUAACCGUAAACGCACAGCAUCAGCUCGGUCUUCAUCUCCACCUGUUGCCCAUUGGGCAGGUCAGAGGCCACAGAAGAGUUCCCGUAGUGCUAGAAGAGCAAAUUUGAUUCCAAUUGUUUCAAAUAAUGAUGAAAAUCCUGCUUUGGAUACUGUUUCUGAUGUUUCCGGUAAUGAACUUGGAUUUGGAUUUGCCAAGCGUUUGACUGGAAAUUCUCCUCAGCAAAUUAAGUUGAAAAAUGAACCUGUUUCUUCAGCUGCAUUAUCUGAAAGUGAGGAAUCUGGGGCUCCUGAGAUUAAAUCUAAAGACAAGGGUAAGAGGUCUGAUGAUAUAGAUGAGAAAACUAGACAGAAUGUUCAAAAAGUUUCAACUCUGGGCCUUCCAUCAAGAAAGAAUAAGCUCGUCACUGGGGAAGACCUUGGGGAUGGAGUGCGGAGGCAAGGGAGAACUGGGCGGGGUUUUACAACAAGGGCUCAUGUGCCAGUAUCAGUUGAGAAGGUUGGCAAUAUCAGAACAGCGAAACAGCUUAGAAGUGCUAGACUUAGUUUUGAUAAAAAUGAAAGGUUAAAUACAGUUCUCUCUGAUUUCCCUCUAGCUUAUCAAAUAUCUUUCCCAUUUUGUAGUCUGGCAAUGUUGGGCCACUCUGAUUUAUAUCUAACAGUUACAUUAACUAUUUAAAGCAGCAAGACAGGUCGUCCACCAAGUAGAAAACUUUCUGACCGUAAAGCAUAUAAACGUCAAAAGCAUACAACAGUCAACGCAGCAGCGGAUUUUCUUGUUGGCUCAGAUGAUGGGCAUGAAGAGCUAUUGGCUGCUGCAAGUGCUGUGAUUAACCCUGCUCAUGCAUGUUCUAGCUCAUUUUGGAGGCAAAUGGAGCCAUUCUUUGGUUUUAUAUCUGACACAGACAUUGUUCACUUGAAGAAACAGGGAAGUAUUGAAUCUACUGCAGCAUCACCCAUUAGGGUUUCAUCUGAUGUAAAUAACUGCAAAACUGUCCUUAAUGGAUAUGGGUUGAUUGAACAUGUGGGAGAAGUGGGACUUUCUACUGAAUCAAGGGUUUGUGAACUGUUAGUGCCAGAAGCAAGAGACAUUCCUCUUUGUCAAAGACUCUUAGCAGCUAUAAUUCCGGAGGAAGAUUGUACCCAUGGAAAUAGGGACUUUGAAUUUGAUACAUAUGAAACUGGAUUUGAGCUGGACGGAGAGUUGGGAUCAAAUGGCUUGAGUCAUGCAGUUAACUUUAAUUUUUCUGGACAUACUGUAUUUAAUGGUUAUAAAGUGACUAGGAAGACAGAACAUGAUGAGGCAGAGGUAGAUCCAUUGGGCAUCCCAAACACAGGCUUAUAUUCAAACUUCAGUCACUCUGUAAAUGGCAUUCUUUCUGACCAGGCAUUGAUUCCGAGCAUGGCCUGUUCAGAAUUUCAGUAUGAUGAUAUGCAGAUGAAUGAAAAUCUCCUUCUGGAGGUUCAAAGUAUUGGAAUUUUUCCAGAAACAAUGCCUGAUUUGCAGAUGGAGGAUGAAGGAAUGAUUGGGGAGAUCAUGAGCUUAGAGGACAAGUACCAUGGCCAGGUUACAAAGAAGAAAGGUUUGCUAGAUAAACUGUUGAAAUCUGCCUCAGAAACAAAAGAACUUCAGGAAAAGGAAUUUGAGCAACGUGCUCAAGACAAACUUGUUACAAUGGCUUAUGAAAAGUAUAUGGCUUUUCGAGGUCCUAGUGCCACUGGUGGGAAAAGUUCCAAUAACAAAAUGGCUAAGCAAGCUGCCUUAGCUUUUGUCAAACGGACAUUAGAACAAUGUCAUAAAUUUGAAGAUACAGGUAAAAGCUGCUUCAGUGAACCCCUGUUUAGGGAUAUGAUUCUUUCUAGGUCUUCCCACCUCAGUGGUGGAAGAUCAUCAGGUACUCCUGUGGAUGAUGAAUCUGGGAAACUGUAUGCCAAUACCUCAAGUCAUUCUGUGGAAGCAAGAGUUUCAGCUUCUAUGGAUUCACAGCCAAGUCCUCGAACUUCUCGACUGAGUCAGAAUGGAGAUGGGUAUGUUGCUAAUUCAUCUGAUUUGCUUCCACAUGUAAAUUGCUUAUCUGAUCAAUCAGCUGGCAAAGAAGACACAUGGUCAAACAAGGUGAAGAAGAGGGAACUAUUGCUUGAUGAUGUUGGUGGUACCAUAGGUACUUCAAGUGCCCCCUCCGGAAUCGGAGGUUCUCUAUCAAGCAGUGCAAAAGGAAAGAGGAGUGAGAGAGACAGGGAGGGAAAAGGGCACAACAGAGAGGUUUUAUCUGGAAAUGGAACUAAUAAAAUUGGUCGGCCAGCAUUGUCUAAUGUCAAGGGGGAAAGGAAGUCUAAAACAAAGCCCAAGCAGAAAACUCAAUUAUCUGUUUCUGUAAAUGGCCUUCUUGGCAAGAUAUCAGGGCAUCCUAAACCAUCAUUACCUUCACAGGCUAAGUCUGGUGAUAUCACCACUAGUAGCAAUGGCAAGGAAAGAGAUGGUUUUGGCUUGGAUGUAUUGGAUGAUUCUGAGUCUAUUGAUUUGUCCAACCUGCAGCUUCCAGAAUUGGAUGAUGGCCAAGGGCAGGAUCUGGGUUCUUGGUUGAACAUUGAUGAUGAUGGAUUACAAGACCAUGGUGAUUUUAUGGGCCUUGAAAUUCCAAUGGAUGACCUUUCAGACUUAAACAUGAUGGUUUAAUAUCUUUCUCUGUAUAGUCUUGUUCAUUAUACUAUUGACAAAGAAACAUUAUCACUGUUGUCAAGAAAUGACCAGUUAUGUGGAUGGUCAGUUGGCCGCAGGUCCACAAUUAGGUUAUAUAGAUUCUUUGGUAGACUUCACAAGAUUUUCGAGAGAGCCUUCAGAUGUUUGAAUUUUGUUCCUUUGUUGGUAACUUCGACUGUAAAGACUUCUGUUCAAGGUACAAUUUAGCAUGUCACAAGUUAGUAUGUCGUAGCAUUUACAACCCAGCAAACACUGUAUCCUGGCUGUAGCUUUUACAAUUCAGAGAACAAUGCCUCUUGUACAUACAUUUUAUAUUUCUAAUAAAGUCUGCUUUUAAUUCAAA